rnacentral:rRNA from 1 species
UGCAGUCGAACGGAAACAGGAAGAGCUUGCUCUUUGCUGUCGAGUGGCGCACGGGUGAGUAAUAUAUAGUUAACGUGCCUCUUAGCCUGGGAUAGCCACUGGAAACGGUGAUUAAUACCGGAUACGCCUUCUACUUACAAGAGUAGUCGGGAAAGGUUUUUCGCUAAGAGAUCGGACUAUAUUGUAUCAGCUAGUUGGUGAGGUAAGAGCUCACCAAGGCAAUGACACAUAGCGGGUUUGAGAGGAUGAUCCGCCACACUGGUACUGAGACACGGACCAGACUCCUACGGGAGGCAGCAGUGAGGAAUAUUGCACAAUGGGCGAAAGCCUGAUGCAGCAACGCCGCGUGGAGGAUGACGCAUUUCGGUGUGUAAACUCCUUUUAUAAGAGAAGAAAAUGACGGUAUCUUAUGAAUAAGUCCCGGCUAACUCCGUGCCAGCAGCCGCGGUAAUACGGAGGGGACAAGCGUUAUUCGGAAUCACUGGGCGUAAAGGACGCGUAGGCGGGUUAUUAAGUCGGGUGUGAAAUCCAAUGGCUCAACCAUUGAACUGCAUUCGAAACUGAUAACCUAGAGUAUGGAAGGGGCAGGUGGAAUUAGUGGUGUAGGGGUAAAAUCCGUAGAUAUCACUAGGAAUACCGAAAGCGAAGGCGACCUGCUGGGACAUUACUGACGCUGAGGCGUGAAAGCGUGGGGAGCAAACAGGAUUAGAUACCCUGGUAGUCCACGCCCUAAACGAUGAAUGCUAGUCGUCGGGGAGCUCGUCUCUUCGGUGAUGCACUUAACAGA